rnacentral:snoRNA from 1 species
AGAGAGAGAGAAAUAAAAGUAGCAGAAGGUGAUGAUGAAAUCUUAAGAAAAUUCCUCUAUGUAAGUCAAGUUCUGACCCAG